AUGGAUUAAAAAAAAAUGAAUUUCUUUUAGUUAUGAAUUUAUGAAAAAUUCAUGAAAAAGUUGCAAAAACUUAAAAAAAAAUGCAAACUUUUCAGAUUCACUUUCAUGUUUCCUUAAUUAAGAAAUACAUAUUUCUUUAAUAGAGUAAGAGAGAUGGUAAGGUUUGAGCUUGGUAAAGAAAUGUAGAAAGAUGUUUUUUGUCUUGUCACAACAAAGAAAAAAUUCUGAUCUGAGUCCCCAUGUUGAAUCAAACCUUAGAUCUUGGGAUUCUGGGGUCUGAUGCUCUAUCAGUGAGCCACAGAGACUCUACAGUGAGUGAGGUUUAUUACAAAGUUCAGUGACACUUGUCCUGCAUACUGCUGGGAUCAGCAAUGUUGUUAACAUCAUGUUUGUAAACAGAAUAUGACUCACAAUUUUUUCUUUGUCCUAUACAUGUGACAAGAUGAAAAACAUCUUUCUUCCUGCUAUGCAGGACACUAUGCAGGAUGCAUGUCACAUGAACUUUGUAAUAGACCUCACUCACUGUGGAGUCUCUCUGGCUCAGUGGUAAAGCAUUGGAGUGUGGAAUCUGAAGGUCUGAGGUUCAAUUCCUCAUGGGGACUCAGAAUUCUUUUCUUGUCCUACACUUGUGAUGAGACAAUAAACAUCUUUCUCUACAUAUUUCCUAUCAACAAAUUAUGCAAGUGGGCCAGAGAAGCCUUAGAACCCCUAAGAUCAUAUGCUACAGGUAUUUAUAUCAUAGUUUACUGGUCUUACUUUACACAGUACUUCAGGCUUUGAACAUUUUGGUCACCAUACCUGAAAAAGAGAAAAAAGAAAAUUUAGUUGACAAAAUAUUUAGCAUCAAGUGGCCUCCUGGGGAAAAUUAGAUUUAUCUCAUUCUUGUACAGCUUCAGCUUCUGAAUUAACUCAAUUUUGUGUACAUGUUUAUUAACUGGGUGUAAGUAGAAGGUUGUUUUAGUUAGGUGAUCCAAGGUAGUGUACAAGGUUAAGAUAUAGAUAGUCAUUGUUUCAUUGGGGAUUAUAAUAUUCCUUUUUGUUCAUUUUUAAUGUGUAUUGCUGCAGUUGCAUAUUUAAUUUGUUUUUAAUUUCAAGUAUCAAAUAACAGGUCUUUUAGCAUUUGCCAUAGAGAGUCAGGAUAUUGCUGCAGUAUUCAGAGAAGAAAACUCUACCUUGGUUCCCUGUAUGCUGUGGCAGCUGCACAUUUUAAAGGACUUGUCAGACCUUACAUAGUCCCUUGUGACAGACCUGUUAAACAGGAUUAUCCUGAAGGCAAAGACAAACAGGAACAAGAGCAAAAACAGUAACAUUGUGCCUUACCAAGGAAGCCACCUUCUUCAAAUCUUAUUGAAAGCACUGCAAGGAUAAUGUGAUGAAUAAGCUCCACAAAGGUGAGAUCAUUUGGAUGGGGUCCUUGAAGCUCUCAAUGGAACAGACACUAGA